GCGAAAAACGACCCGUCAAAAAAGCUGAUAAGUACUCCAGGAAAAAACAAUGACACACCGUUUCAUGGAAGAGCAUAGCCAGUUCAAGGUUACCACUCAUAUGCUUCACAGCAGAGUGAAAUAGCUCAGGCCCCAUCCCAUAGGAACUGUGUUCUGGGGAAACAUCAGAACCAAUCUGAAAGGGAAAAAUCUUGUGUCAUCCCCCUACGUACAGUCCCAGAUUCAAAUUUCCUUCUCCAAAGUCAAUCUUCCUUUUCAGGUGGCAACAUGGCAGACGA